rnacentral:rRNA from 1 species
UACGUAGGGGGCAAGCGUUGUCCGGAUUCAUUGGGCGUAAAGAGCGUGUAGGCGGCCAGGUAGGUCGGUUGUGAAAACUCGAGGCUCAACCUCGAGACGCCGAUGGAAACCAUCUGGCUAGAGUCCGGAAGAGGAGAGUGGAAUUCCUGGUGUAGCGGUGAAAUGCGCAGAUAUCAGGAGGAACACCGAUGGCGAAGGCAAUCCCCUGGGCCUGCACUGACGCUCAUGCACGAAAGCGUGGGGAGCAAACAGG